UACAGAGGGUGCAAGCGUUACUCGGAAUUACUGGGCGUAAAGCGUGCGUAGACGGUUAUGUAAGUUAGGUGUGAAAGCCCCGGGCUCAACCUGGGAAUUGCAUUUAAGACUGCAUAGCUAGGGUGCGGAAGAGGGAAGCGGAAUUUCCGGUGUAGCGGUGAAAUGCGUAGAUAUCGGAAGGAACAUCAGUGGCGAAAGCGGCUUCCUGGUCCAGCACCGACGUUCAGGCACGAAAGCGUGGGGAGCAAACAGG
rnacentral:rRNA from 1 species